CAGCAGUAGCCGCGGUAAUACAGAGGGUGCGAGCGUUAAUCGGAUUUACUGGGCGUAAAGCGUGCGUAGGCGGCUUUUUAAGUCGGAUGUGAAAUCCCUGAGCUUAACUUAGGAAUUGCAUUCGAUACUGGGAAGCUAGAGUAUGGGAGAGGAUGGUAGAAUUCCAGGUGUAGCGGUGAAAUGCGUAGAGAUCUGGAGGAAUACCGAUGGCGAAGGCAGCCAUCUGGCCUAAUACUGACGCUGAGGUACGAAAGCAUGGGGAGCAAACAGGAUUAGAUACCCGGGUAGUCCCUGUCUCUUAUAC
rnacentral:rRNA from 1 species